CCCUUAGAUGUUCUGGGCAGCACGCGCGCUACAAUGGUCUUCGCAAACGGAUGCAUUCUCGAAGGCGAAUGCCAAUCUUGGAAUCUAUGCCUUGGUCGGGACAGUUGCUUGCAAUUUUUCGACUCGAACCAGGAAUUCCUUGUAAUCGUGAUUCAUCACAUCACGAUGAAUACGUCCCUGCCCUUUGUACACACCGCCCGUCGCUCCUACCGAUCGAAGAGUUAGGUGAAUUGUUUUGAUCGAUAAGAUUUGACUAUGGUCAACUCUCGUUGUGAAAUUCUGUGAAUCUGACUGUUUAGAGGAAGGAAAAGUCGUAACA
rnacentral:rRNA from 1 species